UAUUAAUAAUAUAUGAUCCUAUAUACAAACUGAAUGAGACAUUCACAAAGCUGCAAAGAAUUCUUUUUGCUAUAAUUUCUUGCCUCGAAGAAGAUCUUGAUUCAUUAAGUCAUCAUGCUUUCAGUAUUUCCUCCUCAAUGGUGGCCUGAUUGAUUCAAUAACAUCUCUCAUAUCGUCUUCAAGAAGCCGACUCUUCAAUGGCAUUACUGGGCUGCUAUCCCCAUCAAUGAAUUUAACAUAGAAGUUCCUUGGUCGGGAAUGCAGUCUGGCAAGGUCUGGAUGAGAGGCAAAAGAGUGUUCACUCAAACUUUUUCUUGGCUUCCAAUAACAACAUUGAGCGUUCAACAUCUUUAGCAUGCCACCAUGCAAAGUCCAAUUUUUAAAGGUGGUUCCAUUGCUAUAAGCAUACGCUCUUACCAGCCUUGCCAUCUUCUCUUCUGCCAUCAAUUGCUUUGUAGUUGGCCAAGUUGAGUAUGAUUUAAGUGGAGCUGGAGCUGAAAUGGAUAAUAGACAUUUGUUAUCUUUGUAAGACCACGUGUUUUGGAUUCUUAUCCUUUCUUUAUACACAACAUAUUAAUGAAUUUUACUCUUCUUUUAUUCCUAGACGUCAUAGUCAUACAUUAUACAUUCUGUACAAUUUCUUUUGGACACACUAUUUUAUACAGUUUAUUGAUUCAAAUAUUCAUAUGCACAUGCUUAUAUUCAACAUCUUUUUUUUUUUUAUACUAUAAUGAUGUUAUUCGUUGAAUAGUAACACAAUAUUGUGCAAUAUUAAUUUAUAAUAAUAUUAUUUUUUAAGGCAAUGGCUCAAGUAUAUCUAUUUUCUCUUUUAAUAUGCGUAUACACGACCUCGGGCGAACCCACAUGUGCCCUCCUCAAAUAUUUUUGGCUUUUACAUGUUUUUUAAUAUUAUAUUUUCAUUUACCAAUGUAGCCUUUCAAAAUAUAAGUAUUCCCCAUAUCAAAUCGUUCCCACAUUGUUCUGUAAUUGACUUUUCAAAUUCAUUUCCCAUUUUUCUCGUUUUAAUUU